rnacentral:rRNA from 1 species
AUUGAACGCUGGCGGCAGGCCUAACACAUGCAAGUCGAGCGGAUGAAGGGAGCUUGCUCCUGGAUUCAGCGGCGGACGGGUGAGUAAUGCCUAGGAAUCUGCCUGGUAGUGGGGGAUAACGUCCGGAAACGGGCGCUAAUACCGCAUACGUCCUGAGGGAGAAAGUGGGGGAUCUUCGGACCUCACGCUAUCAGAUGAGCCUAGGUCGGAUUAGCUAGUUGGUGGGGUAAAGGCCUACCAAGGCGACGAUCCGUAACUGGUCUGAGAGGAUGAUCAGUCACACUGGAACUGAGACACGGUCCAUGCUCCUACGGGAGGCAGCAGUGGGGAAUAUUGGACAAUGGGCGAAAGCCUGAUCCAGCCAUGCCGCGUGUGUGAAGAAGGUCUUCGGAUUGUAAAGCACUUUAAGUUGGGAGGAAGGGCAGUAAGUUAAUACCUUGCUGUUUUGACGUUACCAACAGAAUAAGCACCGGCUAACUUCGUG